UACGAAGGGUGCUAGCGUUGCUCGGAGUUACUGGGCGUAAAGCGCGCGCAGGCGGCCCGGCAAGCAUGGCGUGAAAUCCCCCGGCUCAACCGGGGAGAGUCGUCGUGGACUGCCGGGCUUGAGGGCGGCAGGGGCUGGUGGAAUUCCCGGUGUAGUGGUGAAAUGCGUAGAGAUCGGGAGGACCACCCGUGGCGAAGGCGGCCAGCUGGGCCGGGCCUGACGCUGAGGCGCGAAGGCGUGGGGAGCGAACGGG
rnacentral:rRNA from 1 species